rnacentral:rRNA from 1 species
UACGUAGGGUGCGAGCGUUAAUCGGAAUUACUGGGCGUAAAGCGUGCGCAGGCGGUUUUGUAAGCCAGAUGUGAAAUCCCCGGGCUUAACCUGGGAAUGGCAUUUGGGACUGCAAGGCUCGAGUGCGGCAGAGGAGACUGGAAUUCCUGGUGUAGCAGUGAAAUGCGUAGAUAUCAGGAGGAACACCGAUGGCGAAGGCAGGUCUCUGGGCUGACACUGACGCUCAUGCACGAAGGCGUGGGGAGCAAACAGG